UGGUAAUCCCAGUACUGGAGACCAGGAGAGGAGGAUCAGGUGUUCAAUACCUUCCUGAACUACAUACCACAGGAGACUCAUUGGAGGAAGGUGUAUAUCCAAGAGCAAAUUGACCAGAAGGACUCUUCCAUUACUGAAGCUGCCCAUGGAACUCAUCAGGAGUGCAGGUUCUUUGUGAAUCACCCACGCUCCAGGUGAGAUUUUUAAUUUGUAUAGUUGCCUAUAAACUGCCCAAGGGACUUCCUGGUGAUGUAACUGCCUUUGAGUCACCCGUGUACCUAUAAGUGGCCUCAAUAAACUCAAUGGUUCACCAAGCUGAACUUGGAUAGAAUU
rnacentral:lncRNA from 1 species